rnacentral:tRNA from 1 species
GCUCAGUCAGUUGAAUGUCUGACUCUUGAUUUCAGCUCAGGUCAUGAUCCCGGGGUUGUGGGAUCAAGUCCCGCACUGGGCC